AAUGGUUUGGGCUGGGCCCCUGAGAUGGCUUGUUUGGCAACUUAAUAAGAAACAAAUUCUCCAAUGAGAAAAUAACCUGGUCCUCACAUAUCACUGGACCACUGAAGAAGAACGAGAUGCUAAUGAGAUCAGCACUUCAAAAGCAAAUCUCCUAGAAUGACAGAUCCAUUUUAGUGCUUAAGAACUAAAAAAGAACAAGGAAGGACCAAGUGAGCCAGGAGAACAAAUCUUGGAACAUCCAUGUGUUCUCCAACUUGGCUGUGUUCUUUGCUUUGACCACCUCAAAAGGACUGCAAAUUCAUGCUCAGUGUGGUCUCUGCAGUGACAGUGGCUACUCCUCAAAGUCAUAAUUUUGAAGCACAGGAGAAACUACAGGACCCUUUCCAGUUUUCUUCCUGGGUGUGUCUUGACAUGAGUGCAUCUCAUUGAGAAGUUCCCACUUCUAUCUACAUAUAAGGAAAAGGGAUAGAGCACCUCAGCCCACUGUAUCAACAGGACCUGAGUGAUCGUGAGUAUAUCAAUCAUUUCAAGUCUAUGUUUUCGGAGCCUAGAAGGAAAACUGAAUGCUAU
rnacentral:lncRNA from 1 species